AAAAAGUUCUGACUCUAUAACGCAAACCAUAUGCAGAUUCGCAGUUUUUCUGUCUUUUGGGUUGUGAAGACUGAAGAAAUACAUUCCUCCGAAACGUUGCUAACUUUAUGUAGUCACAACCCGCAAGACAAUAUUCGACAUCUUGACCGUUGACUUAGAAGAAACAACCUGGGAGAUCUAGGAAUAUAUGGCUGUGCAGAUAUGCAUCGAAAUGAACACGACAGCUGAGAAUUUCUUGGACAGCUGACCAGUUCUCAAUUGCUGAAGGCAGGUCCUGUGCCAAGGGCACAUGACGUAAAUCGAAAAAUCAAAAUGACAUCCGAGUAGAAAGGAUAAUAAUUUGACACACCUGGUCGGACCCGUUCUGUGCGUCUGGUAGCCAGUUACGCCAUCACCGUUAACAAAGCGAAUUGCUAACAAGACGGAAGGAAGGCAAUGAAUCACUAAAAGCCCACACACAACCGUCAACCGUCUGCGUCAAUGUCCCUGUGAGAAAUAGUUUUCAAUUGCUCACACCAAGGAGCAGAACGAAGGAACAGCGUUUCGACUGACUUGUGCAAAGAGUGCCAGACGGCAGAUGGCUCAAACAAGUGCUGGAGUGGAUUCUACCAUCAAGAAGAGAGCAAAAUCGAGGGCUGGAUGGGCGAAGACGAUGCAAUGACACAGACAGAAGUGGAAGAACGGUGAACGGGUGGAAAGGAAUGGCGACUGGGAAUCUGAAGAUGUAAAUGACGUUAAUAAACAGAUGCAUAUAGG